UAAUCCUCUCUGUUUUUUCACACUUAGGAUGUGGGACUUGUGAACAAGAGUUAUGGUAUACACGCCUCUUCCUUCUGUUUCUCCCUCGGCUAGUACACAAGUGCAAAGCGUCCUUUGAAUGAUCUUAGAUGAUAUGCAGGAUGGUCAAGCAGUUCAAUUAACGGGAGUUCAAUCAAGCAAAGAAGACAAUUAUGCAUAUAUAUCCACUUUGCUUGAUUUAAUAAUUUUAUUGAGGUAGCUCCACAAGGUGAGGCAUGCACAAUGAAGUUUGAAGCUAAGAUAGUACCCAUUUUUCCUGUUGGCAUGGAGACUGUUUUGAAGCCACGAGUGUUUCUAGCAAUGAAGAUAAAAAAUAUGAAUUCUACGUUGAAAACACCCUCAUUACUUAAAGCAUUAGGGUUGGCAGAGGAGAGGUUUUUAAAUUUGUUUGUCAAAUACUAUGACAGAGAAAUUGCUGAUGAGUCGAUGAAAUUUUAUAAAAGAGAUUAGCAUCUUCAUCAAAGAAUUGUAUUACUAGACUAGAGGAUUCCAUUUGUAAACUACUUUUAUAUGUUUUGAAAGUUUAGAACUAAAGUUCAUUUC